rnacentral:rRNA from 1 species
AACGCUAGCUACAGGCUUAACACAUGCAAGUCGAGGGGCAUCAGGGUAGCAAUACCGCUGGCGACCGGCGCACGGGUGAGUAACACGUAUCCAACCUACCGUUAACUCGGGGAUAGCCUUUCGAAAGAAAGAUUAAUACCCGAUAGUAUAUUUUCUUCGCAUGUUGAAAAUAUUAAAGAAUUUCGGUUAUCGAUGGGGAUGCGUUCCAUUAGGCAGUUGGCGGGGUAACGGCCCACCAAACCUACGAUGGAUAGGGGUUCUGAGAGGAAGGUUCCCCACAUUGGAACUGAGACACGGUCCAAACUCCUACGGGAGGCAGCAGUGAGGAAUAUUGGUCAAUGGACGAAGGUCUGAACCAGCCAAGUAGCGUGAAGGAUGACUGCCCUAUGGGUUGUAAACUUCUUUUAUAUGGGAAUAAAGUUCUCCACGUGUGGAGUUUUGUAUGUACCAUUAUGAAUAAGCAUCGGCUAACUCCGUGCCAGCAGCCGCGGUAAUACGGAGGAUGCGAGCGUUAUCCGGAUUUAUUGGGUUUAAAGGGAGCGUAGGUGGACUGGUAAGUCAGUUGUGAAAGUUUGCGGCUCAACCGUAAAAUUGCAGUUGAUACUGUCAGUCUUGAGUACAGUAGAGGUGGGCGGAAUUCGUGGUGUAGCGGUGAAAUGCUUAGAUAUCACGAAGAACUCCGAUUG